UUUUUGUUCCCCAAAGUCGCUUUUUAAGCCCUCCUUUAACUAUCGCUAUAUUUCUGCCUUUUUUUUGUUUUACAUGGGGUUCAUUGUGUGCAGCCUCCCCUAGAGAACAAUGAGAUUGCUCCAGCUAAUGGUAAACGUCUAGACGCACAGGCCAAGAAGUUGGAAGAAAUAGAGCAUCACCUGAACAGAUAGACAUGAUCAAGGGGAAGCAAGUUGGAGGGUUAUUGAGUAUCAAGGUUUGAUCGAUGUCAAGCAAUUUUAGCAAGUGGCUAAUAGAGGGGGAUGUGCUGGAGUUGCAAACUCACAAGAUCAAGGGGCAAGCUCAGUAGAUAAAAGUUGCAAAUAAGCAGAGGGAGCAAUCUAGUAGCUAAAUGCAUUGGUCCCUUGGCAACUUGUGUUCUGUGCUAAGCAAAUUUUCUGUCCUAAGCAACAUGUGUUCUCGUGUUGCCUUAUCAAGUUUCUUUGGCUAGCUGUAACAUGCCCACUUAAUUUUCUUGGAUUUUCAAUUCUGUGUUUGUGUGUGUUGCCUAUAUCAAGUUAUUUUCUUGCCUAGCUUUGUGUUGCCUGAUCAAGUUAAUUUUUUGCCAA